rnacentral:SRP_RNA from 1 species
GCCGGGCGUGGUGGUGCAUGCCUUUAAUCCCAGCACUUGGGAGGCAGAGGCAGGCAGAUCUCUGUGAGUUUAAGGCCGGCCUGGUCUAUAUAGCGAGUUCCAGGUCAGCUGGGGCUACAGGGAGACCCUGUCGCACAAGAAAGAAAACCAAACAAACAAAACGAAGACAGGGUCUCUCUGUAGCCCCAGCUGUCCUGGAACUCACUAUGUAGACCAGGCUGGCCUUGAAGUCACUGAGAUCCGCCUGACUCU